rnacentral:rRNA from 1 species
ACGAACGCUGGCGGCGUGCCUAAUACAUGCAAGUCGAGCGGAAUGAUGAAGAAGCUUGCUUCUUCUGAUUUUAGCGGCGGACGGGUGAGUAACACGUGGGCAACCUACCUUGUAGAUUGGGAUAACUCCGGGAAACCGGGGCUAAUACCGAAUAAUCCAUUUUGCUUCAUGGCGAGAUGUUAAAAGGCGGCUUCGGCUGUCACUACGAGAUGGGCCCGCGGCGCAUUAGCUAGUUGGUAGGGUAAUGGCCUACCAAGGCGACGAUGCGUAGCCGACCUGAGAGGGUGAUCGGCCACACUGGGACUGAGACACGGCCCAGACUCCUACGGGAGGCAGCAGUAGGGAAUCUUCCACAAUGGACGAAAGUCUGAUGGAGCAACGCCGCGUGAGUGAAGAAGGUUUUCGGAUCGCAAAACUCUGUUGUAAGGGAAGAACACGUACGAGAGUAACUGCUCGUACCUUGACGGUACCUUAUUAGAAAGCCACGGCUAACUACGUG